GAUCAGGAGCUUGCUCCUGUGAUUAGUGGCGAACGGGUGAGUAACACGUGAGUAACCUGCCCCUGACUCUGGGAUAAGCGUUGGAAACGACGUCUAAUACUGGAUAUGACCGCCGAUCGCAUGGUCUGGUGGUGGAAAGAUUUUUUGGUUGGGGAUGGACUCGCGGCCUAUCAGCUUGUUGGUGAGGUAAUGGCUCACCAAGGCGACGACGGGUAGCCGGCCUGAGAGGGUGACCGGCCACACUGGGACUGAGACACGGCCCAGACUCCUACGGGAGGCAGCAGUGGGGAAUAUUGCACAAUGGGCGAAAGCCUGAUGCAGCAACGCCGCGUGAGGGAUGACGGCCUUCGGGUUGUAAACCUCUUUUAGUAGGGAAGAAGCGAAAGUGACGGUACCUGCAGAAAAAGCACCGGCUAACUACGUGCCAG
rnacentral:rRNA from 1 species